rnacentral:rRNA from 1 species
AAUGAACGUUGGCGGCGUGGAUUAGGCAUGCAAGUCGAGCGAGAACUAGUAGCAAUACUGGGGAAAGCGGCGAAAGGGAGAGUAAUACGUAGGUACCUACCCUCGGGUCUGGGAUAGCUGCGGGAAACUGCAAUUAAUACCGGAUGAUGUCUCUGGACCAAAGGUGUGAUUCCGCCAGGGGGAUGGGCCUGCGUCCUAUUAGCUUGUUGGCGGGGUAACGGCCCACCAAGGCAAAGAUGGGUACGGGGUGUGAGAGCAUGCCCCCGCUCACUGGGACUGAGACACUGCCCAGACACCUACGGGUGGCUG